rnacentral:lncRNA from 1 species
UUCAAAAGAAAACUUGACACUCUGGUAAGGUAUGAGAGCACAUAACCCAAUCAGAAUCGGUUGCCACGUGUCGCAAAAAUCCAAUCGUACAAGUAAGGCACAAUAAGAGUCGAUCAACGGUUUAUUUCAUUGUAGCUACGCACGCAACUGAAAAACCUCCAUAUGCAUCGAUUGACUCGUAAUACACUCACCUAUCUCAACUCGUCCGAGUCACAACGAUUCUACUCAUUCAUCGGCGAUUCCCGCCUUCGCUUUUCAACCAUCAAAUCUCUCGCCGUUCCAUUCUCCGUCACAAACCUCGGCCACAAGUUAUCCCGCCUUCGCUUUUCAACCAUCCAAUCUCUCGCCGUUCCAUUCUCCGUCACAAACCUCGGCCACAAGUCCUCCUCAAUUGCCUCAAAUUCCAAAACUUUCUCCGCCAUACCUCGCCGCUUUAAGCCGGCGGGAAUGGAUUCGGAUCGGCUUGCGGCGUCCGGGUUCGAGGAUUUUGUUCGAGUCGAUGGAGAAAUUGUUAAUUCU